rnacentral:rRNA from 1 species
UACGUAGGUGGCUAGCGUUGUCCGGAUUUACUGGGCGUAAAGGGCUCGUAGGUGGCCAACUAAGUCGGACGUGAAAUCCCUCGGCUUAACCGGGGAACUGCGUCCGAUACUGGUUGGCUUGAGUUUGGGAGAGGGAUGCAGAAUUCCAGGUGUAGCGGUGAAAUGCGUAGAUAUCUGGAGGAAUACCGGUGGCGAAGGCGGCAUCCUGGACCGACAUUGACGCUGAGGAGCGAAAGCUAGGGGAGCAAACGGG